rnacentral:rRNA from 1 species
UACGGGGGGCAGCAGUGGGGAAUUUUGGACAAUGGGCGCAAGCCUGAUCCAGCAAUGCCGCGUGAGUGAAGAAGGCCUUCGGGUUGUAAAGCUCUUUUGUCAGGGAAGAAACGGUGGGAGCUAAUAUCUCCUGCUAAUGACGGUACCUGAAGAAUAAGCACCGGCUAACUACGUGCCAGCAGCCGCGGUAA